GGAGAAAAGAAGCCUUAAGCCAAUGCUUACUGCACCUCUGGCUCUGGCUCUGGGUGGAGCUGUAGGGAGACGAGAGAUAUCCCUUGGCUUGGUGAGGAGAGCCUUGGGAAGCAACCUGCCGGACAAAGGCUGAGGGCUGACAGGGAGGUGGUAAACAGCUGCAAAUGGAUGUCAGAAGGAAACCUGAAGCUCAUUCUUUGAACGCUCUCGCCAUUAAGGUCCCAUCUCCACGGAUGGGGAGUUGGGGGCCACACUCCACCUAUAGCAGUGCCCAGCACAGAGCAGGGAAGCCACGCAGGGUGUGAUAAAUAUUUGAUGAAGAAACGAAUGCCUGGAUUCCACAUGCGGAGAAAGCCGGCUCCUUCUGAAUUAAUUAUGUGACUCAAACGUCAGGGCAUGAUGAUGAGUUUAUUUCUACUUAUUGUGAGUAAUGAUUUUUUUUCCCCAAAGAGUUUUUCAAUUCC
rnacentral:lncRNA from 1 species